AUGAGAAUCGCACGGGGAAUAAACAAGUAAAAGGGAUUGAAUGGACUUCUCUUUCGGAGUGCUGGACCAGAUGACCUUCUUUUGAAUAGUAAAUGUAGCUCUAUGGCUGGUAGGCAGGAUUAUAUAUAGAAACACUACCGCAUUCAAAGAAUAAGGAAGAAUACACUAAAGUCCUCAAGUCAGGUGUCUGACAUCCUGUGAGAUCCUGGGAGAGUUGCCGAGGUGACGUCUCGCUGCUAACAGAACCAGAGAGAUCCGGCGUGAGCGAAGAAGGGAGACCACGGCGAGAAUGGUGUGACUGCUGAUAAACGCCUGUUCCUAUGUGGCUCGGAAGGUGGUGUCUCUGUGUGGGGAGCGAAGGGACGAUCGAGGGGAAACGCCCACCGUGUGUGGUCAGGCGAAGAGCUCGUGUGGAGCGCUGAAGAUGGAGCAGAAAGUAAAAACCCUCCAUCCCAGCCACACAGCCUCCAUGGGGAUGAGAUCCAAGGAGUCUCUAGGGCUUCCCUGUGGCUCCUGAGGGUAAGGACAGGGUCUGGUGCAGAGCGACCUCGUCUAAGUGGGCGCUGGAGCUCUGCUGACCCUUUCCCCCCCACUCUCCUCCUACCCGCCCUUUCACCCCCCACGCUCUCCCCCCUCUCCCUGCUGUUCUGUCCCAAGGAAGCCAUGACGACCUGCUCAUAACCUCCUAUCUGUUGGGAGAUGAACUUGUCUGAAGAUACUUUCCUUGUACCAGAAAACGCAACGGCAUCUCCUCAGCUCAUCUUCUCAAACCUCUUCUGGGCCAACAAAUAAACGGUUUGAUAUUCUAAAAGAAAGUAACAUAUCAUACUCAAGUACAAAAUACCAGUAAUCAUGUCUUAUAAUCUAGAACAAAAUAACAUGUAUUACUAUUUUAAAAAUGUUUUCAUGCUUCGUACUUUUAGGUUUAAAAAUAAUCCUUUGCUGUUUUUGGUGGAAUCAGUUUCCUUAAUAAUGAUCCCAAUAAAGAACAUUUCCUGAGA